ensembl:lncRNA
UAAGAGGGUUAGUGGGUUAGUGCACUAUAUGGCCUCCGAGGUGUUUAGAGACGUUGUUGACUCGGUUAAGAGGGUUAGGGUUAGUGCACUAUAUGGCCUCCGAGGUGUUUAGAGACGUUGUUGACUCGGUUAAGAGGGUUAGGGUUAGUGCACUAUAUGGCCCCCGAGGUGUUUAGAGACGUUGUUGACUCAGUUAAGAGGGUUAGGGUUAGUGCACUAUAUGGCCCCCGAGGUGUUUAGAGACGUUGUUGACUCAGUUAAGAGGGUUAGGGUUAGUGCACUAUAUGGCCUCCGAGGUGUUUAGAGACGUUGUUGACUCGGUUAAGAGGGUUAGGGUUAGUGCACUAUAUGGCCUCCGAGGUGUUUAGAGACGUUGUUGACUCGGUUAAGAGGGUUAGGGUUAGUGCAC